rnacentral:rRNA from 1 species
AGCGUAGACGGCAAGGCAAGUCUGAUGUGAAAACCCAGGGCUUAACCCUGGGACUGCAUUGGAAACUGUCUGGCUCGAGUGCCGGAGAGGUAAGCGGAAUUCCUAGUGUAGCGGUGAAAUGCGUAGAUAUUAGGAGGAACAUCAGUGGCGAAGGCGGCUUACUGGGCUUUAACUGACGCUGAGGCUCGAAAGCGUGGGGAGCAAACA